rnacentral:lncRNA from 1 species
ACCACCGCUCUCACUACCGUCAGGUAUGAAAUUCUGUUCAAUUUCCAAUAAAAUCAAAUCAGUUAUCUAUUAUCCGAUCAAAUUCCCCUUCAAAUAUUUGUUUUUCACUUUCAGAUUACAUUCACUUCACUACCAAUUACUUAAUUUGGGAUUUCUUAAUUUGGGUUUUAGGGUUUUAACGAUUGUCUUACUUUUGUUGAUUCCUAAUAUUAAGAAUUCUUUACAUACAUCACUACGUGUUCUGAAACUUUGCCGCCAAAAACAGAUCCAAGCUCAGUUUGGCUGCAUUUGUUGGAUGCUUGAUGCCCAUGAUGGUUGGAGUUUGCUUUCUUUGCCCUUCAAUGGAUUGCCUUUGGCAUAAAUAUCACUACUGUCCUAAAUGUCAAGAAAAGGUACCUCUAAUGGACUCUCUGUCUGUCUCUGACCUUAACAUCAUCAAUCGAUACCAUUCAUUCUUCCAAAUGUCUUUGCAACUCAAUGUCUUUAUUGCUAAUGUUCAUUUGUAGGUUGCUGACUUUGAGAAAUCAGAUCCCUGUGUUGUCAUGGAUCCACCACACUGGACUCAGGAGAGCUUUGCAUUGUCUGGGUAGGAUGGUAAUUCUGUUUCUGCCAUUUGCGAUUGCAUUCUCUGCAAGUUGUAACGUCAUAAUCAUAUCUUAAGAAUUAGUUGUUACAUGAGCAUUGGACAAAAAUGAAUACUUGUUACUUACCGUUCUUGAGUUUCAUCGAAAAUUGAAUUACUUGUACAUCUUUUGUUGCACAGCUAUGAUAAUAAACGCAUGUUUUGUUAAUAUUAUACUUCAAGGAGAAUUUCUGGCUUCCUGGAUCUGCAUGCUUUGUUUUCUCCAAUUUAAGAAAAUAGUUGAAUUGAGUUGUUUGGUGAUGAAGAGAUUCUUCCGAUGAAGAGAUUCAACCGCUUACUUAUACUAAAGCGGUGACUCUGUUAUGUGACAAUUCAACCGUUCAUGUUCUUUUGUAUACCUAAAAGCAGUUUAUAUCUCAUUAACUACUAUUAAAUACCAGGCUAUAAAAUAUUCCAUUUGUUCGUUUAAUAUAGUUAUACAGCAACAAAAUAGCUAAAAGUUAUGACAUUUAUGGUCAUUAAGAAAAGAAUAAACGAUUUUUUUUCUUGAAAAACUAUUUCUCUGCUAUAAUAGACAACUUUGAUUUCACAGCCCUUGGUUUCAAAUACUUGUGUUUUGGCAAUAGUAUAAUGAAACAAGCACAACUGCUAUUGGAGGUACCUCAAGUUUAAAACGUUUUUCAAAUGAUAGCCUAAUUUCAUGCAGCAGUUAUAGCAUUACCUUUGGUUAUUGAGC